rnacentral:lncRNA from 1 species
AAGGGAAAUUUUUGCGUGCCAAUCAGCUCAUUGUGCCAUGAGUUGACUCAUGAGUCGACUCAUGCACUUCAAACCUUCAUAACUUCAAAAAUAUAAGUCCAAAAAUAAUGAAAUUUUCACCAAUAGAUUACAAAUCAUUUGUUCUACCAAAUGAUACUAUCAAAUCAGGAUUUUAGUAAAAUUAUGAUUUUGCCCCUGAAGAGCAUAAAGACUUUUUCAAUUUAAAAUAUUUGUAUCCCUUCAAUCUACUUUGUAAUCAUCAAAAUCAAUCUAGGAGC